UAGAGGAAACUUGCGGGCUCACAUCAAAACGGUUCAUAAGGAACAGCUGGAAAAGUUUAACACACUUUGUAAAGAAAUUGAUGCUACUAAGUUGAUGGGCGUCCAACCUCUUAGGGACCAUUCGGAUAAAAAGAUCGAGACAGAUCGUAAGCCAGCCUCCGUGCAGCAGGUCUUGUCUUUUCAAGGGUACCAAAACUUGUCACACAGAAAAACCUGGAUGAAUUCAUUCCGGAAUACCUUUGUGACGCGGUUCUACCAGUCUAUCACACAGAGACAGAAGCCUUCCGGACUUACACCCGUAAAUUGCAACCUCGUCUUAAAGUCAGGAACCGUGCAUUCUACCGAAAGCAGAUCGCCAGUAUGUAUAUAAAGAAGAGAGCUGCUCUUAUGAACCAGUUGCGAGGCGCAUUGUGGAUUUGUACAACUGCCGAUGGAUGGACUUCUAGGCGGCGGGCGUUCAUCGGCAUCACUGCCCACUGGAUCGCUCCAAACCUGAAAAGGCGUUCCGUAUGCCUUGCCGUAAGACGC